AGUACUUACCAUCCUACGCAAAGACAUCGCCAGUGUGUGAGGAAGUGAAAGUGUUCUAACAGCCACGCAUUUUUGGGUGAAGGAGACCAAAAGAUCAUGGCGAGAGGAAGUCAACUGAUCCUGCUGCAAGCUGUUCAGAAUAAGCUUGCUCAGGUCCUCUCAGGAGUGAAGUCGCCAUGUGAGAGGCAGUGCAUCCUUCAGGCAUAUGCUUCGUUGUCAAUGAUGAAUAAAACACAAUGUAAGUGAAACUGAUAACAUUUCAGCAUCUUUUGGCUACUCUUUACCUUUUACUUAUGUGGGAGCGUCAAAUAGCUUUUUUUUUUUUUUUUUUUUUUUGUGUGUGUGUGUGUGUGUGUGUACCCUUUUUGUUGCCCUUGAGUCAUAUCCUUUGAUGUAAAAAAAAAAAAGAAAGAAAAAGACAGCAGUACAGGGUGACAACCUACGGCAACACAGAUUCUUCCAUUAUUUAUGUUGGAUAUUUUAUCUUGCUACAACCUUUUCAUCAAAACCAAACAACCACACCUGUCAUUGGCUGGCUUUCUCAUGCCUCUGCCAGACAUUCUCAGGGUCAUGUCUUAGGUUUUACUCUGCACUUAGUUGGAUACCCUUUUACAUGUCUUUCAAUCCUCUUCAUGCAUUAAAUUAGGUUGGGGCUAACGGUAUAUUAUCCGAGUAAACUAUCUCAAAUAGGAUAAAGGUUUUGAUAUAUUAAAAACUCACAUUAUUACCAGAUUUAAUAAAAGCAGUGAAAUAUUGUAAACAGAGAAGAUGCUCAUUACUAAGUUGUAGCACAAAACUCACAGUAAGCAUCACACAAACCACCUCUUUAAUACUUCAUGUUCUGGCACCUAAAAAAAAAUCAAGAACAGAUCCAUGUUUUUAAUCUUUAAAAAAGUAAAAAAUAUGAAGGUGAAUGCACUUGAAACCUAAUUCAAACCCUCUUGAACAAAAGAAAACUGUUUUGCUGUUAGAAAAGUGUCUUUGAAGCUAGUUAUCAAACUCUCAACCACUCACACACAACUUUCAUCUCAAGACUGAAAGGAUUUACUGGUUUAAAUUUUUCAUUAACAAUUAUGUACAGCUAUGUCAAUAAAUAAUUCAGGGAUUUUUUUA